rnacentral:rRNA from 1 species
GUGAGGAAUUUUCCGCAAUGGGCGAAAGCCUGACGGAGCAAUGCCGCGUGAAGGAUGAAGGCCUAUGGGUUGUAAACUUCUUUUCUCAGAAAAGAAUUAUGACGGUAUCUGAGGAAUAAGCAUCGGCUAACUCUGUGCCAGCAGCCGCGGUAAGACAGAGGAUGCAAGCGUUAUCCGGAAUGAUUGGGCGUAAAGCGUCUGUAGGUUGUUUAAAAAGUAUUCUGUCAAAGAUUAGGGCUUAACCCUAGAUAGGCAGAAUAAACUUUUAAGCUAGAGAUGGGUAGAGGCAGAGGGAAUUCCCGGUUGAGCGGUGAAAUGCGUAGAUAUCGGGAGGAACACCAAAGGCGAAGGCACUCUGCUGGGCCAAUACUAACACUGAGAGACGAAAGCGAGGGGAGCAAAUGGGAUUAGAAACCCCGGUAGUCC